rnacentral:rRNA from 1 species
GUGAGUAGUUCAGAGUUUGAUCCUGGCUCAGGAUGAACGCUAGCUACAGGCUUAACACAUGCAAGUCGAACGGAGUUAAGACUUCGGUUUUAACUUAGUGGCGAACGGGUGAGUAACGCGUGAGGAACCUGCCUCUCAGUGGGGGACAACAGUUGGAAACGACUGCUAAUACCGCAUAAUGUCAUGAACUGGCAUCGGUUUAUGACCAAAGAUUUAUUGCUGAGAGAUGGCCUCGCGUCUGAUUAGCUAGUUGGUGGGGUAACGGCCCACCAAGGCGACGACCAGUAGCCGGACUGAGAGGUUGACCGGCCACAUUGGGACUGAGAUACGGCCCAG